GAGCCGGCUCCGGCCUCAGCUGGCCCAGAGAGGGGCUCCCUCAGUGCAGUGGCGAGCUGAAGGGCUCCUCAAGGGCGGCUGGAGUGGACGCUGAGGCCGAGGAGACGCCAAGAGCAAACGAGGGCUGCUAGUACAUUGUCACCUCUCACUGGUAACUACAGUUGCUGUCAGUUUAACUGAAAGACAGGACAGAUUCUUAUGACCUGAAACAGCACCUCAACUCUUACCUUGGAUAUUUCUACAUGAAGAAUCUGCUCUGAAACUAUAGCAAACAAUCACAGAGUGUUUGAGUGUGAGUCCAGACUGGUUCGGGAAGACCAAGAAGCAAUGAUGAUGUCUGUUUUUGUCAAAUGUCUGAAAACUAUUUUUAUUUUUCUAAAACUUUGUUCAGAAGUCUCAAUAUUGUAGUGUAUAGAGAUGUACACUAAUUUAGUGAUAUGAAGAUGAAGGGCUUUAAGCCUGUGUUCCUUGCAGGCAUCUCAGUACCUAGGAACUCCAAAGAACAAACUGUUGCUCGUGCAAAAUUAAAUUUCAUAAAACAGCAAAGAAUGGUGCCAGAGUUUAAUUAAUAGGAUAAGGUUAUGAGUCAGACUGUGUACCCCAAAAAAGAUAUGUUGAACUCCUAAGCCCCUGAACCACAGAAUGGGAUCCUAUUCAGAAAUAGGCACAGUGUCCGGGCACCAUGGCUCACACUGGUAAUCCCAGCACUCUGGGAGGCUGAGGUGGGUGCAUCACCUGAGGUCAGGAGUUUGAGACCAGCCUGGCCAACAUGGUGAAACCCCAUCUCUACUAAAAAUACAAACAGAACAGUUAGCCAGGUGUGGUGGUGGGCACCUGUAAUCCCAGCUACUUGGGAGGCUGAGACAGGAGAAUGGCUUGAACCCAGGAGGUGGAGGUUGCAGUGAGCCGAGAUCGUGCCAUUGCACUUCAGCCUGGGCCACAAGAGUGAAACUCCAUCUCAAAAAUAAGUAAAUAAAUAAAUACAUACGUAGGC
rnacentral:lncRNA from 1 species